UACGUAGGGUGCAAGCGUUGUCCGGAAUUAUUGGGCGUAAAGAGCUCGUAGGCGGUCUGUCACGUCUGCUGUGAAAACUCGGGGCUUAACCCCGGGCCUGCAGUGGGUACGGGCAGACUAGAGUGCGGUAGGGGAGACUGGAAUUCCUGGUGUAGCGGUGAAAUGCGCAGAUAUCAGGAGGAACACCGGUGGCGAAGGCGGGUCUCUGGGCCGUAACUGACGCCGAGGAGCGAAAGCGUGGGGAGCGAACAGG
rnacentral:rRNA from 1 species